rnacentral:rRNA from 1 species
GAUGAACGCUGGCGGCGUGCCUAAUACAUGCAAGUCGAGCGAACGGACGAGAAGCUUGCUUCUCUGAUGUUAGCGGCGGACGGGUGAGUAACACGUGGAUAACCUACCUAUAAGACUGGGAUAACUUCGGGAAACCGGAGCUAAUACCGGAUGAUAUUUUGAACCGCAUGGUUCAACAGUGAAAGACGGUCUUGCUGUCACUUAUAGAUGGAUCCGCGCUGCAUUAGCUAGUUGGUAAGGUAACGGCUUACCAAGGCAACGAUGCAUAGCCGACCUGAGAGGGUGAUCGGCCACACUGGAACUGAGACACGGUCCAGACUCCUACGGGAGGCAGCAGUAGGGAAUCUUCCGCAAUGGGCGAAAGCCUGACGGAGCAACGCCGCGUGAGUGAUGAAGGUCUUCGGAUCAUAAAACUCUGUUAUUAGGGAAGAACAUAUGUGUAAGUAACUGUGCACAUCUUGACGGUACCUAAUCAGAAAGCCACGGCUAACUACGUG